CCGAUCCCCGCCAUUGAAGAGAGAGAGAGAGAAAGAGAGAUGCUAUCUUUUAUUUUAGUUUUGUUUCUGUUUUCGAGGAGAGGGAAAUGAAAUGACUAAGGGAAUGUUUGAUUGAUUGAAUGAAUGAAUGGAUUGAAUAGUUUGUGAGUUAAA